rnacentral:rRNA from 1 species
GAGUUUGAUCAUGGCUCAGGAUGAACGCUAGCGGCAGGCUUAACACAUGCAAGUCGAGGGGUAUAUGUCUUCGGAUAUAGAGACCGGCGCACGGGUGCGUAACGCGUAUGCAAUCUACCUUUUACAGGGGAAUAGCCCAGAGAAAUUUGGAUUAAUGCCCCAUAGUAUUAUGAAAUGGCAUCAUUUUAUAAUUAAAGUCACAACGGUAAAAGAUGAGCAUGCGUCCCAUUAGUUAGUUGGUAAGGUAACGGCUUACCAAGACAAUGAUGGGUAGGGGUCCUGAGAGGGAGAUCCCCCACACUGGUACUGAGACACGGACCAGACUCCUACGGGAGGCAGCAGUGAGGAAUAUUGGACAAUGGGCGCAAGCCUGAUCCAGCCAUGCCGCGUGCAGGAAGACGGUCCUAUGGAUUGUAAACUGCUUUUAUACAGGAAGAAACACUCCGACGUGUCGGAGCUUGACGGUACUGUAGGAAUAAGGAUCGGCUAACUCCGUGCCAGCAGCCGCGGUAAUACGGAGGAUCCAAGCGUUAUCCGGAAUCAUUGGGUUUAAAGGGUCCGUAGGCGGUUUAAUAAGUCAGUGGUGAAAUCUGGUCGCUCAACGAUCAAACGGCCAUUGAUACUGUUAGACUUGAAUUAUAAGGAAGUAACUAGAAUAUGUAGUGUAGCGGUGAAAUGCUUAGAUAUUACAUGGAAUACCAAUUGCGAAGGCAGGUUACUACUUAUGGAUUGACGCUGAUGGACG